GUGUGGAAAGGUAGAGCCUGGACAGUGCCUAACUCACCUGAAUAAGACCCAUCAUUUCACUCUUCUUGACCACUCACAACAUCCUUUAUAAGCUCAGAUUCUGUCCCUAAUUUUGCUGUUGACUCCUUUACAUACCAGAGCUCCUUAUACUAACAAAUAUGAGACAACUUGAGAGAAUGCUUAUGGGACUAAAGGAAUCCCAACUGAAAUGAUUUGGGAGAUUUAGGCAACACCUCUUUUCCCAUCCUAAGAAUGUAACUGCAUUCUACUCUCUAGCAUGUGAAUUUAUCCAGCACAAAGCUGACACUCCUGCAGAGAAAGCUCCAAUCGGCAGCAAUGUAUGAGAUUAAAGUUCGAUCCAUCCCUGAUCACUAUUUUAAAGGCUUCUGGAGCGAAUGGAGUCCAAGUUAUUACUUCAGAACUCCAGAGAUCAAUAAUAGCUCAGGGGAGAUGGAUCCUAUCUUACUAACCAUCAGCAUUUUGAGUUUUUUCUCUGUCGCUCUGUUGGUCAUCUUGGCCUGUGUGUUAUGGAAGAAAAGGAUUAAGCCU
rnacentral:sRNA from 1 species